AAAGCUCAAAUUUGAAAUCUAGCACCUUCGGUGUUCGAGUUGUAAUUUGAAGAUGGUAACCUUGGGUUUGGCUCUUGUCUAUGUUCCUUGGAACAGGACGUCAUAGAGGGUGAGAAUCCCGUCUGAUGAGAUGCCCAUUCCUAUGUAAGGUGCUAUCGAAGAGUCGAGUUGUUUGGGAAUGCAGCUCUAAGUGGGUGGUAAAUUCCAUCUAAAGCUAAAUAUUGGCGAGAGACCGAUAGCGAACAAGUACAGUGAUGGAAAGAUGAAAAGAACUUUGAAAAGAGAGUGAAAAAGUACGUGAAAUUGUUGAAAGGGAAGGGCAUUAGAUCAGACUUGGUGUUUUACGAUUAUCUUCUCUUCUUGAGUUGUGCACUCGUAUUUCACUGGGCCAGCAUCGAUUCGGAUGGCAAGAUAAUGGCAGUUGAAUGUGGCUUCACUUCGGUGGAGUGUUAUAGCUUCUGCUGAUAUUGCCUGUCUGGAUCGAGGGCUGCGUCUUUUGACUAGGAUGCUGGCGUAAUGAUCUAAUGCCGCCCGUCUU
rnacentral:rRNA from 1 species